rnacentral:rRNA from 1 species
GAUGAACGCUGACAGAAUGCUUAACACAUGCAAGUCAACUUGAACUUCGGUUUGGGUGGCGGACGGGUGAGUAACGCGUAAAGAACUUGCCUCACAGAUAGGGACAACAUUUGGAAACGAAUGCUAAUACCUGAUAUUAUGAUUAUAUGGCAUCGUAUAAUUAUGAAAGCUAUAUGCGCUGUGAGAGAGCUUUGCGUCCCAUUAGCUAGUUGGAGAGGUAACGGCUCACCAAGGCGAUGAUGGGUAGCCGGCCUGAGAGGGUGAUCGGCCACAAGGGGACUGAGACUCGGGCUGUACUACUACGGGAUGCAGCAGUGUGGAAGAUUUGACAAUGGACCAAGAGUCUGAUCCAGAAAUUCUGUGUGCACGAUGAAGUUUUUCGGAAUGUAAAGUGCUUUCAGUUGGGAAGAAAAAAAUGACGGUACCAACAGAAGAAGUGACGGCUAAAUACGUGCCAGCAGCCGCCGUAACAC